UUGUUCGCGGGUGGGUGAGAGGCCCGGGCCGGGAGCCCUGCCUCCAGCCCCCCAGAGGCUCCUCUUACUCCCGCCAGCUUACGGAGGGGAAAACUGAGGCGCACAGCAGUACGCGGGCCUCUCACUGUUGUGGCCUCUCCCUUUGCGGAGCACAGACUCCGGACGCACAGGCUCAGCAGCCAUGUCUCACGGGCCCAGCCGCUCUACGGCAUGUGGGAUCUUCCCGGACCGGGGCACGAACCCGCAUCCCCUGCAUCGUCAGGAGGACUCUCAACCACUGCGUCACCAGGGAAGCCCGCACAAUAUUAAUUCUUCCAGUCCGAGAACACGAGAGAGCUUUCCAUUUAUUUGUGUCUUCUUCAGUUUCUUUCAUCAGGGUUUUGUUUGUUUGUUUGUUUUGUCUUAUAGUUUUUAGUGUACAGGUCUUUCACCUCCUUGGUUAAAUUUAUUCCUAAGUAUUUUAUCGUUUUUUAAUGCUAUUGUAAAUGGGAUUGCUUUCUUAAUUUCUCUUUCAGAUAGUUCAUUGUUAGUAUAUAGAAACACAAAUGAUUUUUGUAUGUUGAUUUUGUAUCCUGCAACUUUACUGAAUUCAUUUAUUAGUUCUAAUAGCUUUUGGAUGGAGUCCUUAGGGUUUUCUAUACAUAAGAGCGUAUCAUCUGUGAACAGAUAAUUUUACUUCUUCCUUUCCAAUAUGGAUGCCUUUUAUUUCUUUUGUUUGCCUGAUUGUUACGACUAGGACCUCCUCUUCUUCUUAUAAGGACACCAGUCAUUGGAUUUAGGGCCCAUUGUAACCCAUAGGACCUCAUCUAAACUUAACUAAUCAUGUCUGCAAAGACCCUAUUUCCAAGUAAGGUCACAAUUCUAGGUACCAGGGAUUAGGACUUCAGUGUUUCUCUUCAGGGACACAAUUCAACCCAUAACAAAGGGAAUCCAGAUAACCUAAAAAAGAGUAUCAAGCUGUCUGACUCUUAUGGGGCUUAAUUUCUUUAAUAGUCUACGUAUAGCUAAAAUAGGCGCAUAUUGAGGUUCACUUGUUUUAACUGUUGUGUCAUAUAUCCACUAGGUCUGUGUACCAUGGCUGACCCAUCUGCUGUCCUGUGGGUGGCCUUUUGGGUAGUGUCCAGGUGUCUGCUAAUUUACAGUGCUGUUUGGGCAUUCUCAUAAGUGGCUCUUGGUGCGCGUGCAAGCGUUUCUCUGGGAUGUUUACCCAGAAAUGGAAUCACUGGGACUCAGAAUACAUGAAUGUUUCACUUUAGGAGAUGAUAACAAGGUACAUUAUACAGCAGUUGUAGCAGUUGCACUAAUUACACUCCCGCCAGCAGCAUGUAUGAUCCACAUCCUCUCCGACACUUGGUAUUAUUAGAUUUAAAAAUGUUUUCCAGUUGAGCGUGAAAUUGUUGCCAGCUGAGAUUUUGAUUUGCAUUUCUUGAUCACUAAUGAUGCUGAACAUCUUUGUCAACACAGGUCUAAAAUAUAUUCACCUAUAUUUCCUACUAAGCGUUCUGAAGCUUUGGUUUUGACACUUAAGUCCAUAAUCUAUCACCUUUCCAUCAUUAAGUUCCAAAGGAUAUUUACCUCUAAUUCCUACUAAAAAUUUUAAAGUGGUUUUUAUUUGUUUGUUUGUUUUUGGCAUUUAAGCCCCUAAUCUGGAGUUGAGUUUUGUGUAAGGAGGGAUGGGUCGUAUAAUCUUAGGAGCUUUUGUAAGAUGACAGAUGUAUUUUGGGGACAGUGGGGCAGGAUGUUCGACUGGGACUCUUGAGUGUACUGGAAAUUGCUCACUGGAUGUUGAGUUCAAAUUCUGCUCCUCCCGUGGACUGCCGUUGCGAUCUUAUACUUCAUCUCCGUGAUCCUCGGUUUCCUCAUCUGUAAAAUGAGAAUCAUAGCAGAUACUGCCCUUGGUUGCCAUAAGGAUUGCAUAAGACAAAUUACGCAGGAAGCUUCCCACAUUGCCGGGUACACAGCAUAAGAACACUAACUAGCAUUUAUUGAGUACUUACCAUGUGCCAGGUCAUGCCAAGCACUUUACAUGUGUUAUUUACUCACUUAACCCCUGACAACUCCAUGAAGUCGAUGGUAUUUUCCACACUUUACAGACGAGGAAACUGAGUCUCAAAUAGGAUGAGUGAGUCCCCCAAGAGCACAAUGCUAGCAUAUGUCAGAGGACUUGAACCCUGGCAGUCUAGCUACAGAGCCCUCAUCCAUCACCACCACACAUCAAAGCCAUUCCCUCCCUCCCUCGCUCACCCUCCAGCAUCUAGUCUCUGGGCCCUGCUUCUCCAGGAGGAAGAGUCUAGAGGUUGAAAUGAGGAAGUGAUAAGCAGUGGGGUUGACCCCUGAUUCCCUGGUGGCCCCUGCCUUUGACUCUGAGGCUGGGGAGAGGCUGGGGAUGGAGGGGAGAGGCGGGGCCUCCUGGUGAGGAAGUCCAUCCAUCUUCCCCAUCCCCAGAGGUAGUUGGCCAUCACAGUGGAGAUGAAUCACAGGCCACAGUGUUCUCCCCAGUGUCAUCCAUUAUUCACAGCUGCCAUCCUGGGCCUGGGCUUGCUUUGGGGUCAGGCAGGAAUUAUUCCCAAGGCCCAGCUCUUAGGCAAUUUUAUCCACAGCUGAGCCUGACCACAAGCAACUUUAUUCUCUAGAUCUGAGAGCAGAGGACUUUCCACCGAGAGGGGACGGAGACUCCAGCAUGAGUUACAGGCCUGCGACCCACUGACAGACAAAGCGCUUGGGAUUGAAACCAUUGUCUUCACCCUGGACUUCUUAAGAGUGGCCCCUCAACAGAUAAAAUGCAAUGAAGAAAUAAAAAAUUAGAGAGGGGGGUACCUAUAAUUCUGUAGCUCUCAACGUGUGGUCCCCAGCAUCACCUGGGAGCGUGUUAGAAAUGCACAUCCUGGGACUUUCCUGAUGGUCCAGUGGGUAAGACUCUGUACUCCCAGUGCAGGGGGCCCGGGUUAGACCCCUGGUCGGGGAACUAGAGCCCAUGUGCAUGCCGCAACUGAAGAGUUUGAAUGCCGCAACUAAGAGUCCGCAUGCUGCAACUAAGAAGCCCGCAUACCGCAACUAAAAGAUUGUGCUUGCCCCAACGAAGAUCCUGCGCGCCGCAACUAAGACCUGGCGCGGCCAAGAUAAAAUAAAUAAAUAAAUGUUAAUUUUUAAAAAACGCACAUCCUUGGGCCCCACCCAAGCCUGCUGGAUCAGGAGCUCUGGGGGUGGAGCCUAGAGAGUUCUGUUUUAACAUGUCCUCCAGGAGAGUCUGGUGCACACACAAGUGUGAGACCCACUGUUCCCUCUCCUUUGCUCACUUUGAUGACACAGGUUGCCAUGUUGUGAGCUGCCACGUUGGAGGGGCCCACGUGGAAAGGAACUGAAUGCUGCCAACGUGUACUGAGGGAGCUUGGAAGCUGGAUCCUUGCCCAGUCAUGCCUGCAGGAUAAUUUGAAACAUAUGAAGACACAGUUCUGCUGAGCCAGAAUGACAAGCUGAUGUUUGUUGAGCGCUGACUGUCCUGAGCGCCCGUCACCUCAUCUGACCCUCCCCACAACCCCGUAAGGUGGGUGCUGUUUCCAGAAAAAAAUGUCAGUUCACGGGCAGCUGUUAUAAACAGGUGGAUAAUAACAACUACUGACUUCAGAGAAAUGUCAAGUCCCAGAUUGCGGUACUGACAAAUGAUAGGGUCUGAGAGAUCUUCCUGUUGAAGUUAACAGAAUAAUAAAAUUCUAAUGUGUAGUGUUAUCAUUACAUUAAUAUGC